rnacentral:lncRNA from 1 species
UCGAACGCUCGUCCAACGUCGACAAGAAGUCGAUAGGAGGAAACACGCGCGCUCGCUCGACCUCCAACGGCUCAACCGAGACACCGACGCGCACAAACGGUCCUCCGGAGAAACGUCGAAUCCGGACAAGCUCGAUCCGCACAUACCCAACGAACGGCGUACCCCAGCUAGAGAGAGAGGGAAAAAGAAGAAGAAUCCUGCUCUCAGAAGCUCUCUACGCAUAUAUAUAGGCUGAGUGUAACAUAGCGGAUUUUGAUAUAAAAGUAAAAAAAUAAAUAAAAAUAGUGUGAGAUACUAUUUUUUUUAUUGGACUGAUAGAAGCAAAAUGUAAGUCUGAAAUGACCUGUGCUGAAAUUGGAAUGACAAUAGAAAAUUUAGAAUUUUCUGUGAGAGACGGGGCUGAUAUUUUAGUAGAAAAUGCACAAUGUCAGAAAAUUAUGAAAACUGCAGAAUAUAUCAGAAUUAUUUUUAUGAGGCUAGAUUUAAAGUUUCAUGCCAUUCUGACACCGAAAAAGUAAAAAAUAAAAUCCGACUGUUAUCUGCUAGAUAUUACAGUUCGGUAGGGCUUUCAGUGACCAAAAAGAGUCGAAAUUGAAAGAUUAAAAUUUCUUUCGUUAAGUUAAGUAAGACCAAGUAUGACUGCCAAAUUUGAGCUCAAACGGACUUUCGAAAGGGUAGGCGAAAAAUAUAUGUACCGGAGCUGCAAAAUUGAAUGUAAAUAGUGUAUUGUUGAGGGGGCUAUUGUGUAACAAAAGGAGUUU